rnacentral:rRNA from 1 species
CGACCGGCGCACGGGUGAGUAACACGUAUGGAACCUGCCCUAUGCAGGGGGAUAAGCGGAAGAAAUUCCGUCUAACACCGCAUAACACCUUUAGGAGACAUCUUCUUGGGGUCAAAGGAGGCGACUCCGGCAUAGGAUGGCCAUGCGUCGCAUUAGCUAGUCGGCGGGGUAACGGCCCACCGAGGCGACGAUGCGUAGGGGUUCUGAGAGGAAGGUCCCCCACACUGGUACUGAGACACGGACCAGACUCCUACGGAAGGCAGCAG